rnacentral:rRNA from 1 species
GGGAGUGCGGCAGCUACACAUGCAGUCGAACGCUGUGCUAUUUAGCCACCGGAGCUUGCUCCACCGGAAAAAGAGGAGUGGCGAACGGGUGAGUAACACGUGGGUAACCUGCCCAUCAGAAGGGGAUAACACUUGGAAACAGGUGCUAAUACCGUAUAACAAUCAAAACCGCAUGGUUUUGAUUUGAAAGGCGCUUUCGGGUGUCGCUGAUGGAUGGACCCGCGGUGCAUUAGCUAGUUGGUGAGGUAACGGCUCACCAAGGCCACGAUGCAUAGCCGACCUGAGAGGGUGAUCGGCCACAUUGGGACUGAGACACGGCCCAAACUCCUACGGGAGGCAGCAGUAGGGAAUCUUCGGCAAUGGACGAAAGUCUGACCGAGCAACGCCGCGUGAGUGAAGAAGGUUUUCGGAUCGUAAAACUCUGUUGUUAGAGAAGAACAAGGAUGAGAGUAACUGUUCAUCCCUUGACGGUAUCUAACCAGAAAGCCACGGCUAACUACGUGCCAGCAGCCGCGGUAAUACGUAGGUGGCAAGCGUUGUCCGGAUUUAUUGGGCGUAAAGCGAGCGCAGGCGGUUUCUUAAGUCUGAUGUGAAAGCCCCCGGCUCAACCGGGGAGGGUCAUUGGAAACUGGGAGACUUGAGUGCAGAAGAGGAGAGUGGAAUUCCAUGUGUAGCGGUGAAAUGCGUAGAUAUAUGGAGGAACACCAGUGGCGAAGGCGGCUCUCUGGUCUGUAACUGACGCUGAGGCUCGAAAGCGUGGGGAGCAAACAGGAUUAGAUACCCUGGUAGUCCACGCCGUAAACGAUGAGUGCUAAGUGUUGGAGGGUUUCCGCCCUUCAGUGCUGCAGCUAACGCAUUAAGCACUCCGCCUGGGGAGUACGACCGCAAGGUUGAAACUCAAAGGAAUUGACGGGGGCCCGCACAAGCGGUGGAGCAUGUGGUUUAAUUCGAAGCAACGCGAAGAACCUUACCAGGUCUUGACAUCCUUUGACCACUCUAGAGAUAGAGCUUCCCCUUCGGGGGCAAAGU